rnacentral:rRNA from 1 species
UACGGAAGGCAGCAGUAGGGAAUCUUCCGCAAUGGACGAAAGUCUGACGGAGCAACGCCGCGUGAACGAUGAAGGCUUUCGGGUCGUAAAGUUCUGUUGUUAGGGAAGAACAAGUACCGGAGUAACUGCCGGUACCUUGACGGUACCUAACCAGAAAGCCACGGCUAACUACGUGCCAGCAGCCGCGGUAAUACGUAGGUGGCAAGCGUUGUCCGGAAUUAUUGGGCGUAAAGCGCGCGCAGGCGGUCCUUUUAAGUCUGAUGUGAAAGCCCACGGCUCAACCGUGGAGGGUCAUUGGAAACUGGGGGACUUGAGUGCAGAAGAGGAGAGUGGAAUUCCACGUGUAGCGGUGAAAUGCGUAGAGAUGUGGAGGAACACCAGUGGCGAAGGCGACUCUCUGGUCUGUAACUGACGCUGAGGCGCGAAAGCGUGGGGAGCGAACAGGGAUUAGAUACC